GACGAACGCUGGCGGCGUGCUUAACACAUGCAAGUCGAACGGUGAAGCGCCUUCCUUUUUGGUGGGUGUGGAUGAGUGGCGAACGGGUGAGUAACACGUGAGUAACCUGCCCCCUUCUUCUGGAUAACCGCAUGAAAGUGUGGCUAAUACGGGAUAUUCUGGGUCUGUCGCAUGAUGGGUCUGGGAAAGAUAUUGUUUCGGUGGGGGAUGGGCUCGCGGCCUAUUAGCUUGUUGGUGGGGUGAUGGCCUACCAAGGCGGUGACGGGUAGCCGGCCUGAGAGGGUGGACGGUCACACUGGGACUGAGACACGGCCCAGACUCCUACGGGAGGCGGCAGUGGGGAAUAUUGCACAAUGGGCGCAAGCCUGAUGCAGCGACGCCGCGUGAGGGAUGGAGGCCUUCGGGUUGUGAACCUCUUUCGCCAGUGAAGCAGGCCUGCCUCGUUUGUGGGUGGGUUGACGGUAGCUGGAUAAGAAGCGCCGGCUAACUACGUG
rnacentral:rRNA from 1 species